rnacentral:rRNA from 1 species
CAAUAGCGUAUAUUAAAGUUGUUGCAGUUAAAAAGCUCGUAGUUGAAUUUUUGCUUGCCGCCGAUGUCGGAACUUCCGUACGUUCGGCGGCGUGCAUCCUUGGGUGGAACCUGUGUGGCAUUAGGUUGUCGUGCAGGGGAUGCUCAUCGUUUACUGUGAAAAAAUUAGAGUGUUCAAAGCAGGCUUAUGCCGUUGAAUAUAUUAGCAUGGAAUAAUAAGAUAGGACCUUGGUACUAUUCUGUUGGUUUGCGCACCGAGGUAAUGAUUAACAGGGACAGUUGGGGGUAUUCGUAUUCCAUUGUCAGAGGUGAAAUUCUUGGAUUUCUGGAAGACGAACUACUGCGAAAGCAUUUACCAAGGAUGUUUUCAUUAA